ensembl:lncRNA
CAACAAUAGGGAGAGAAUCCUAUACUGGAUGGAAUCACUCGGCUCAGUGUGGACACAAAGAUAUCCUAUGCCAUGGCAUGGAGGCUCCCAAGAACUUCUAGGAUGAAUGUGAGGCACACAAGAGCCCACAGUGCAGCCUGGGAGAACAUUAAAGUAUCUGGAAUUAUCAGGGACCCUAAGGUUGAAGAGGCAGAGAACAACCGCAGAGGUGCCCAGUAUGUCCUCAGCCUGGACAACAAGUGUCUGCUCAAUCAUACAGACAGCUCAGGACUCUCUCACCCAGCGAAACCUGAGACUGCACACUGGUGGACCAGCUGGUUCCUCAAGAGGUUAGCUCUCUCAAUGGCAUGAAGUUCAGGUGCUACCUCUUCCUAUACUGGCCUGGUGAAGACAGAACCCUGGAGGACAUUGUGGUCUG